UUUUCUAGCCCGCGGCGUUGGAGCCGCUGACACCACCACCACUUCCUCUUCUCCUCGGACGGCCACCGCGGACUCCAAUCCGGUCGCAGUUCCCAUUCUGCCACUUAUGACGGUUAGUUUCGCUCUUAGUCUCUUGUUGCAUCGGCUUCUCUCUUGAUCUGCGCCCUAGUAGCACACCUGUGCAUCUCCAAUUGAAAGAGACUUCAAGAAAUGCUUCAUUGAUGCGUGAAUCUGAACGGGGAGUUGUUGGAACUCCGAAUUUGGUGGUACAAUUUAGAGAAACAGAGGUAAAGAUUUAUGCCUUCGUAGGUUGUUCGAUUGGUGCGGAUUUGAAUCUGCAUAUUACCAUGUACGACCUUCAUAAAUCCCUAGUUAGAAUCAUCGUCUUUGUCAUCCGUUGGUGUUAUCUGUUCCUGCCUUUCUCGUAUGGAGAAGACGGACACGGACGCAGGAACGGACGAAAGCCAUCAGUCCUUUAGGAUGAUGACGGACAUGGUCGUAAAUGUACGUGUAGGGCGGGCCCCGCAACUGGCCGAGCAGCCGAUGGGCGAGACUGCGGACUGGGCUCCGGUGGCCCUCCAGCCCCCGUCUUGCGCAAGCGUGGCGCAUGGACGACGCCAUUGUGAGCUAGCGUCGAGUCUAGUGGAUCGGGUCAAGGAUCCGCUUAAGAGCCUGGAUUCAUGUUUCCUUUGCUCGCCAAGGCUGGAUCAGCCAUGCUGCAAACCGAUUCGGGUUAUGAUACUCGAAUCCGACCCGAACAGUAAUGGAGUUUCUAUGCGUUAAAUGCAUGUACUUUGGGUGAUGUCUACAUGGUACACAAAGCCGUGGGUUCUGCGGACAUUGUGCGGGGACAGUGUCCGAGGUGAUGCGAAAUGCCAACCCGUGUGCUUUGGGUUACUCAUCAUCAGCAAAAGUGAUGCAUUUUAGAAAGGCAAGAAGACUCGGAAGCUCUGCCAGUAUAGGUGCAUGGACUGUAUGGUUAGUAGAUAGACCAAUGGGACCCAUGGUGGGCUCCAAAGCAGCAAUUCCUAUCAAGGAAGCCAUAUGGCACAGUGUGUUUGUGGUAGACCACAUCAUCAGAAGGCAGAAGAGGAGGUGGGAGUUUCGAAAGGUGAGGCAGGGGGGUCCCCUCAGCUUCAAGCAUAGCAGUGUAUUGUCUUUGGUUGGUGCUAGUUCUUGUGAAAAAGGGGAUGUAGCUCUCCAUUGUUGCUUGGGUAGAUGAUGCUGUCAAAUCCAAGCAAUGGUUGCAGUAGAUCAUGUUCAGAAUUAUGGUGAAGAGAAGUGGACGGUGGACUAUCACUGCCUGUUUGUCGAGGACUUAUCUUGACAGUAAUGUCCAGAAGAGUAAACCAAAAGAACAGAGAGAUAUUUCAUAGUUCAUGCUGCAAGGUCUCUUUGUCUGCUCCUGCCAACAAAUGAUUUUGCACUAGUUUUCCUGAACUGUUUGAGUUUUCCUUGGCUCAAUGAUUCUACCAUUGUUCAUGUCAACUUCAGAGUGGCCUUUAACGCAGGUUGAUCUAACUAGUUUUCUUAUAUUAGUAUUCAAAAUAAAUAUUUUCGAGUCACAAAAAUUAAUAUUGGCAGUCAUCAUAAACUUGAGGAAGGAAAUAUGCUUAAAUUUAGCUAAAUGACUACACAGAUAACUGAAGUUAGUUCUAAGUUUGUGCUAAUUAUCCAGCAAGGUGUGGAACCACUUGUAGCCAGAUUCCAGUUCUGCCUCAUCCAUAUCCACAACUGAGUCAUGCUGCUACAGCAUAAUGGUGCAGAGGGCUCAUAUCAUAUGGUUUUCAUCUUCUGCCUGUGAAAAUUGAUGAACUGCAUUAUAACUGCAAAAUAUUUCCAAACGGAGGAAAAAGUUUGUCUUGUUGCUGACACCAAAUAAUUCUUCGUCAUGUGCCUGGCUACCAAAGGUUGGAGUUUUGGUCCCCCAUGACAAACCAUGAGUUGACUUGUCUUUUAACAGUGUGGUUAGGGUUUCAGUGAACAUGGUUAGGUGGCAUGCUGAAUUGUUGUUGCCUAGAUCGUGAACAUUCUUCUGCUGGGCAUGCCAUCAUUUAUGGUCAGAGGCAGCCUUCUUAUACCCUAGUCUUCUUGCUGAUGUCCAUCUAAGGAAUGCAGUUCAACCACAAAGUUCUGAUCACUGAGUCUUGGUCAUGUCGGAGAGCUUGAUAAACAUGUACAUGUGCGGAAAUUAAAGUUUGCCUGCCUUGAGGUUGGCAGCUAGUUUGGUAACUGUCCCAAGAAAAAUCUAGUCAAAAGAAAGAUCAAUGCUCUCUGUGGUCUAGUCUUCACUUUCCACAUCAUAAGAGGGGACCAAACGUUGUCAUUUUAGUGUUAUGCUGAUAUGUUGGCAGGGAAGGAAAUAUUGCUGGGCAUAUGCUUAAUCUUUGCAGAAAAAGAACCAGUUGAUGUGGCUUUCUGAUUAUGACUAAACUGCUUCUCUAUCGAAUAAGCAAAAUGAUUGUAUUACUACUUUGAACUGGAAUGAUUCUACUACUUCUCUGUCAAACAUAAGAUUUCCAUUUUCAUCCUGGUCAGAAUUAGAAGAUCUUUAAUUAAAUGACGUUAACAUACCUCUCCUAUCCUUGUUUGAGGAACACAUAGUUCUGACCUAAUUUCCUAGAUAACUAAGAUGCUUGAUAUGCAGCAGAAGCAACAAAUGAUCCCUUUGCCAAUAUAUAUUGUGCCAGAGCAUGUUUCUGCUUCACUUUACAUGCUUGUGAUAAACCUUUCCAAAAACUUAGGACGAUUUAUGUUGCAUUGGAAUGCAGAUAAACUCAUUAAAUUAUUUUUUUUGGAGAAAGGCAGUACACCCUUGUUGAUCAGUCUCAGUUAAUGCCUCAUUUUACUUGAUGCCAAUCUAUCUUGCCUCUUUGUACUGAAAACAAGCCUGAAUGACCUACCUACUUUGUUUUUUCCUUGUAUUAGGUGAUGAAUAUGUUGCAAGAACAUGAUACUAGCGUAAAGAAUCUACUCGAGUAAUUGCAAGAUGGUAAGAUCCUGUCUGUAUGCAGGUAAUGUUUCUUUUGACCAAUCUAUUUACCUUUUUGUUCAUGUCUGCAUCAUCCAUAUCUCACCUGAUACUGAAGCAUCUCACAGUUUCUGCAAUCUAGCAUCUGUUGGAUAUCAAAAUUCCUAGCCCUAGGAUGAGACCAUUAUUAAUUAUCCUAGCACUAGCCAGAAAAGCUAGUAAAAUAAAGCCCUUGAACAUAUUCAACAAGUACCCUUGUCUUCUAGCAUGGUAAUACCUCCUCCACAACAAAAAAGAACCCACCUUGAUUUCAUACCUUCCCUGGUAGAUUCUAUUCUGUCAGCCCAAAUCAUGUGGAGUUUUUAAAACUAGCCUCACCUUGUUGUAUCACAUGCUACCUCCAAUUUCUUCAGAUUAAAUAUGGGCUUGGAGGAUAGACCUUCCAAAUAAUCAAAUGGGAGAGAACACUUGGUGUUGGUAUUCUUCCCAAUAAAGUCACUUUUUUUUACUGCAUUCGGCUAUCAGAGAAGAAGAAGACUGUAGAUCGAGACUCCAAAAUUUCUAGUUGUAUUCCUAUCAAUAAACCAAGUCCUGACCUAAAACCUUGAGCCAAACAGAGGAGGUACAUGAUUUAUGCAGUGGUCCAGGGUGUUGGAAAGCAACAUACCACUAGAAGGCACCAAAAAGGAGAACUCCUAUCUUUAUCUUCACAGAAAUUUCUUCCUGUCUCGUUGCUACUCCUCAUAAAUGUUCAACCACACGCUUCAAGGAAGGAUUCUUUUCUUUGUUCAUGAGUCAGGUCAAACAGAGCACUUUCAGUAGAUGAGUUUGAAUCUUCAUUAACUCGGUCCAAGUUAGCUUCAAUACUGCUUUCAUCAUAGCUUAGGCUUGUGGAGCUUCUCACAUCAGAAAAUAUAUGCAUACUGUUCUCUAGAGGAAAUAAGAGACAAGCUAUCUUUCAACUCCCCAAUCUGAUCAACCAACCACAUUCUUGGAUUUCAAGAAAAUGAUACCUUUUGCUUUAAGAGUAGCUUCCUGCAAGGGCAUUUCAUACCCUCCCCCCCCCCCACCUUUUCCCUCAAAAUCAAGUAGAAGACCAACUAAGAUUUGAUCUAGUUCAUGGUAGGAUUGUUUGGUGGUACCAGUCAUAUGAUCUGGCUCCAAUGAAGACAAAAACAAUUGGUACAAGAGGAGAGACAACCAUCCAUUAGUUUGUCAGUCUGGUUGCAGCCAUGAUGCCUAAUUGACUUUACCUGGCGAGCUGCUUUGUUUACAGCAAACCUCACCACACCUCACCUCACAUCAUUCUGGUGCAUCAUGGUGAAACCAUAGAAGUUGGGAAAUCUAACGAGUUGAAAUCUACCAACCAAAUCUUGUCAGUGAUACUGGGAGAAAUUUGCACCACAGAUUGUAUAGCACAUAAAAUAAUACCAAAGGAGAUUUGCUGCUAUAUGUGGCAGUUAUGAUAUUGUGCCAUCGACAUCUGUCUUUACCUAUUUAUGUUGACUUACAAACUGAGCUCAAAUAGUUUUCUCUUCUCUUUCCUUGAUCAUCUUUUGUACCUCAAUGGCCAUUUUUAUGCAUCCAUGGUAUUUAGCUACCUACUUAUUUCACUCAUACAGAAGUAACACACUUUUUCUGGGAUGCUUCAGUCAAUCCAAGUCUACGUAGCAGUGUCCAGGACAGGAUUGGGAGUUAGGGAGCUCCAUCUCCUUUAGACAAACACCAAGUGAUACUGAGAGGGAGGGAGGAGAGAGGAGGGAAGGGAAAAGACAUGAUUCCCAUUGGUCACUUUAUUAGAAUGCAAGGAAAGGCCAGUACAUAUCGCACAAUCACAUACACCUAAUCAUGCAAUCAAUUCCACCUUCACCUGCUACUCCAAUCUCCCAAAAAGACCGUGGCUGCUCAUCUCCCAUAUCAUCCUAAAAAGUAGAACUCGUAUCUCCCCCACGGGAUGGAGAUACACGUUUCCUGUCAGUCCAGAUUUUGAAGUGCUGUCUGACGAGAACAUGAGGAGGGACUAAAACUGUUGCGUUGAAAGAUACAAGAGCAAGCAUCUUCCAGGGAUUUUACUUAACAACCAUGCGUCUGUAUCACGAGCUAAUCCAUCCAUGGCUUUUUGUUGCAUGUCUGAUGCUUUUGUUUCUUAAUGAAAAUGUACCACACUUCUGCAGUUAU
rnacentral:lncRNA from 1 species